GACGAACGCUGGCGGCGUGCUUAACACAUGCAAGUCGUACGGUAAGGCCCUUUCGGGGGUACACGAGUGGCGAACGGGUGAGUAACACGUGAGUAACCUGCCCACAACUUUGGGAUAACGCCAGGAAACUGGUGCUAAUACUGGAUAUGUGCUCCUGCUGCAUGGUGGGGGUUGGAAAGCUCCGGCGGUUGUGGAUGGACUCGCGGCCUAUCAGCUUGUUGGUGGGGUAGUGGCCUACCAAGGCGGCGACGGGUAGCCGGCCUGAGAGGGUGACCGGCCACAUUGGGACUGAGAUACGGCCCAGACUCCUACGGGAGGCAGCAGUGGGGAAUAUUGCACAAUGGGCGCAAGCCUGAUGCAGCAACGCCGCGUGCGGGAUGACGGCCUUCGGGUUGGAAACCGCUUUCAGCAGGGACGAAGCUUUUUGUGACGGUACCUGCAGAAGAAGCACCGGCUAACUACGUG
rnacentral:rRNA from 1 species